rnacentral:rRNA from 1 species
GAUGAACGCUAGCUACAGGCUUAACACAUGCAAGUCGAGGGGUAGCAGGGUAGCAAUACCGCUGACGACCGGCGCACGGGUGAGUAACACGUAUCCAACCUUCCCAUAACUCGGGGAUAGCCUUUCGAAAGAAAGAUUAAUACCCGAUAGUACUUUUUCAAGGCAUCUUGAGAAAGUUAAAGAUUUAUUGGUUAUGGAUGGGGAUGCGUUCCAUUAGAUAGUUGGUGAGGUAACGGCUCACCAAGUCUUCGAUGGAUAGGGGUUCUGAGAGGAAGGUCCCCCACAUUGGUACUGAGACACGGACCAAACUCCUACGGGAGGCAGCAGUGAGGAAUAUUGGUCAAUGGGCGAGAGCCUGAACCAGCCAAGUAGCGUGAAGGAUGAAGGUCCUAUGGAUUGUAAACUUCUUUUAUAGUAGAAUAAAGUGAUCGACGUGUGGAUUUUUGUAUGUAUACUAUGAAUAAGGAUCGGCUAACUCCGUGCCAGCAGCCGCUGUAACAC